CAUAUGCUUGUCUCAAAGAUUAAGCCAUGCAUGUCUAAGUUCACACUGUCUCACGGUGAAACCGCGAAUGGCUCAUUAAAUCAGUCGAGGUUCCUUAGAUGACACGAUCCUACUUGGAUAACUGUGGCAAUUCUAGAGCUAAUACAUGCCUCUGAAGCUCCGACCCUCGUGGAAAGAGCGCUUUUAUUAGUUCAAAACCAAUCGCCGGUUCGUCUUCGCGGGCGGCCGGUGUCCCCAUUGGUGACUCUGGAUAACUUUGUGCUGAUCGCAUGGCCUUUCGCGCCGGCGACGCAUCUUUCAAAUGUCUGCCCUAUCAAAUGUCGAUGGUACGUGAUAUGCCUACCAUGUUUGUAACGGGUAACGGGGAAUCAGGGUUCGAUUCCGGAGAGGGAGCAUGAGAAACGGCUACCACAUCCAAGGAAGGCAGCAGGCGCGCAACUUACCCACUCCCGGCACGGGGAGGUAGUGACGAAAAAUAACAAUACGGGACUCUCUACGAGGCUCCGUAAUUGGAAUGAGUACACUUUAAACCCUUUAACGAGGAUCUAUUGGAGGGCAAGUCUGGUGCCAGCAGCCGCGGUAAUUCCAGCUCCAAUAGCGUAUAUUAAAGUUGUUGCAGUUAAAAAGCUCGUAGUUGGAUCUCGGGUGCAGGCGGACGGUCCGGCUCGCGCCGGUUCACUGUCCGUAUUUCUCCUGCCCUACUGGUCUGCCGGCUCUCUCCCGCGGGUGCUCUUCGCUGAGCGUCCCGGGUGGCCGGCGCGUUUACUUUGAAAAAAUUAGAGUGUUCAAAGCAGGCCUCGGCUGCCUGAAUAAUGGUGCAUGGAAUAAUGGAAUAGGACCUCGGUUCUAUUUUGUUGGUUUUCGGAACUGGAGGUAAUGAUUAAAAGGGACAAACGGGGGCAUUCGUAUUGCGGCGUUAGAGGUGAAAUUCUUGGAUCGCCGCAAGACGAGCUACUGCGAAAGCAUUUGUCAAGAAUGUUUUCAUUAAUCAAGAACGAAAGUCA
rnacentral:rRNA from 1 species